rnacentral:rRNA from 1 species
AUAAAUUUCUUGUUAGUAAAGUUUGUAAAAAUGAAGUAAAGAAAAAUAAUUUUAAAUAAAUUUUGUUAGUAUUUUUUAAAGAAAUUUUUUAAUAACGAUAGUGUAUUAGUAUUGUAAAAGAAAGUUUAAAUAAUAAAUUUGACGUGAUUUAAAGUAGGAUUUAAAAUUUGUACCUUGUGUAUUAGGGAUAAUUAAAAUUGAUUAUUUAUUAUAUGAAUCUCGAAAAAAAAAUAGUUAAAUUUAUCAAAUAAUUACGGUAGUAAAAGUAUUAUUAACAUAAUUUUAAACGUGAAAAGUUCGUCGGGUUUUUAUAUCUAGUUCUUUAAGAAAAAAUUUAAUUUUUUAUGUAUACUGUAUUUUGUAUAUGUAAAAGGAGUAGGAGGGUAGAGCUUCUUAUUCUAUUGAUUUAUACCAUAAUUAGGAAAUUUAUAUUAUUUAAACUAAGCUUAAUAGUGGCUAUGUUUUUAAAGUUUUAAAACUAAUAAUAUUGUUGUUAAAUAUUUUUAUUAAUUUAGUGUAAUAUUAAGGUAAUGAUUAAAAUAAAAUUUAUUAGGUAAAAUUGAUUAUAUUAGUAGAAGAAUAGUUUAGAAAAAAAAAGUAAAAUAAUAAAUAACUUUUAUGUAUUUUUUUAUAAAGAAAAGGAACUCGGCAAAUAUUUUUACUUGCCUGUUUAUCAAAAACAUGUCUAUUUGGUGGAGAUAUAAAUAGUCUGGCCUGCCCACUGAAAUAUUUAAAGGGCCGCGGUAUUUUAACCGUGCAAAGGUAGCAUAAUCACUAGUCUUUUAAAUGGAGACUUGAAUGAAUGGUUGAACAAAUAAAUAGCUGUCUUUUUUUUAAAAUUUGAAUUUAACUUUUAAGUGAAAAGGCUUAAAUAUUUCAGGGGGACGAUAAGACCCUAUAAAUCUUAUAUAUAAAUGUUUAAUUUUUAUUGAUAAAUUGUUUUAUAGUUUAAAUUAAAUAAUAUAUUGUAUUGGGGCGAUAAAAGUAUAAUUAAUAUAACUGCUUAUUUUUGAAUACUAAUAUAUUUGAUUAUUAUUAAUGAUCCUUUAAAAGAUUUGAAGAUUAAGUUACUUUAGGGAUAACAGCGUUAUUUUUUUUGAGAGUUCUUAUCGAAAAAAAAGUUUGCGACCUCGAUGUUGAAUUAAAAUUUCUUUAUGGUGUAGUCUUUAUAAAAGAAGGUCUGUUCGACCUUUAAAAUUUUACAUGAUUUGAGUUCAGACCGGCGUGAGCCAGGUUGGUUUCUAUCUCUUGAUAUUUGUUAAAUUAUUUUAGUACGAAAGGAUUAAGUAAUUUAAAUAAUUUUUAAUGAUUAGAUUAUUUU